ACCCUUUAUUUUUUGCUGUUUUGGGUUUGAGCCGAGCUUAGCCUUGUUCAUUUUAUUUCACAAUAGGUAUGUAAAAAAUUGAACACACCCCACUGAGCACCCUGUCGGCAAAGGCUUUGCGCACCGCUGCAGGGGCCUAAAACGCCCCAUUAAGGGCCGCGAGGCACCAUAAGAGUGCAC
rfam:Vibrio sp. J237 Contig_8, whole genome shotgun sequence.